rnacentral:rRNA from 1 species
GAUGAACGCUGGCGGCGUGCCUAAUACAUGCAAGUCGAGCGAACGGACGAGAAGCUUGCUUCUCUGAUGUUAGCGGCGGACGGGUGAGUAACACGUGGUUAACCUACCUAUAAGACUGGGAUAACUUCGGGAAACCGUAGCUAAUACCGGAUAAUAUUUUGAACCGCAUGGUUCAAAAGUGAAAGACGGUCUUGCUGUCACUUAUAGAUGGAACCGCGCUGCAUUAGCUAGUUGGUAAGGUAACGGCUUACCAAGGCAACGAUGCAUAGCCGACCUGAGAGGGUGAUCGGCCACACUGGAGCUGAGACGCGGACCAGACUCGUACGGGAGGCAGGAGUAGGGAAUCUUCCGGAGGGGGCGAAAGCCUGACGGAGCAACGCGGCGUGAGUGAGAAGGGUCUUCGGAUCGUAAAUCUCUGUUAUUGGGGGAGAACAUAUGUGUAAGUAACUGUGCGCAUCUGGAGGGAACCGGAUCAGAAAGCCCCGGCAAACUAGGG